UACGAAGGGGGCUAGCGUUGCUCGGAAUCACUGGGCGUAAAGCGCACGUAGGCGGCUUUCUAAGUCAGGGGUGAAAUUCUGGAGCUCAACUCCAGAACUGCCUUUGAUACUGGGAAGCUCGAGUCCGGAAGAGGUGAGUGGAACUCCGAGUGUAGAGGUGAAAUUCGUAGAUAUUCGGAAGAACACCAGUGGCGAAGGCGGCUCACUGGUCCGGUACUGACGCUGAGGUGCGAAAGCGUGGGGAGCAAACAGG
rnacentral:rRNA from 1 species